rnacentral:lncRNA from 1 species
CCUGGAGGGACUUGUGCCUCUCUCAGUGGUAGUAGAGAGGCUACUUCUUCCUGCAACGGUCGCGACUGAGAGGCAAUGGGUGGCGAGCCUACAGGGGACGUCGUCGAGGAGAAAUGGGAUAACUUUAAGGGAGCAGGGUUUAAGGAGUGAGAGCAGAGCCAAGUCCUGGAGACACUGAACUUGCUGUCGCACCAGAAAAUGAGAUGUGUGGGGUAGGGGGCAGGGAUAAGGCAGAAAAGGACUACUCGGAUCAUUUUUAAGAUGGGAGAGUAGCCACAGAGGAACAGAGUAAGAAUCUAAACGAAGUAAAGCAGUACGGGCAUACGUUUCUUUACACGGUGUUCUACUUAAGGGCACAGGAAAAGUUACAGAAUGACAAAAGAGAAACUCCUGGAGGGCAGAGCUGUGCCUACCAUCUUCAUCAUUGCAUUACCACCACCCAGCACAGUGCCUGGCACAAAAGAGUUGCUCAAUACAUAAAUCAGGAUGAACAGAUAAAUACAUGGAUAGGCACUUUGGACUACAGAUGAGCUUAAAUACUUUGUGUUUUUCUUAGUCAAACAUGUGCAAUAAGCAAGUGAUAAAUGAUAUGAUGACCACA